rnacentral:rRNA from 1 species
GAUCUGGCUCAGGAUGAACGCUAGCGACAGGCUUAACACAUGCAAGUCGAGGGGCAGCAUGAUUUGUAGCAAUACAGAUUGAUGGCGACCGGCGCACGGGUGAGUAACGCGUAUGCAACUUACCUAUCAGAGGGGGAUAGCCCGGCGAAAGUCGGAUUAAUACCCCAUAAAACAGGGGUCCCGCAUGGGAAUAUUUGUUAAAGAUUCAUCGCUGAUAGAUAGGCAUGCGUU